rnacentral:rRNA from 1 species
UACAGAGGGUGCUAGCGUUGUUCGGAAUUAUUGGGCGUAAAGGGCGCGUAGGCGGUUUCGCAUGUCCGAUGUGAAAGCCCACCUCUUAAAGGUGGAAUUGCAUCGGAAACUGCGAGACUAGAGUGCCGGAGAGGGUGGUGGAAUUCCUGGUGUAGAGGUGAAAUGCGCAGAUAUCUGGAGGAACACCGGUGGCGAAGGCGGCAUCCUGGACCGGCAUUGACGCUAAGGCGCGAAAGCCAGGGGAGCAAACGGG